GCGCUCGUAGCUCAAUCGGAUAGAGCAGCGGACUUCUAAUCCGCAGGUUGCUGGUUCGAGUCCAGCCGGGCGUA
rnacentral:tRNA from 1 species